GGAGCGUGCACGAAGUCAACAGCAAGUGUCGGGUGACUUAAGAAUUCGCAACGGGUGAGGGCUCGACAAAAAGGACGAGGUUAGGUCGUUCCGUUUACCAAGGAAAAAAGAAGAACAAUUUCCACGCUCGACCCUUUCAACAUCUAUGGAUUUUCCGGAACAAGAUGUGCACAGAAGGGAAAAACGGCCGCUAAAUACGUCCUUAAUGUCGACACGGGUUAUCCUAUUGUCGUCCUGCGGUUAUGCAAUUUCGUCUGCGACCAUCGGCAAUAUAACACUGUUAUAGAACGGACUGGUACAAUGAAAGAGAAGAAGAAGAAGAAGAAGAGGAAAAAAGAAGGAGGAAGAAAAAAGAAAAGGAAGGUUGGAAAAAGGUCUACGACCUUUCUUCGUCCUACGAAGACGACAAAUCGGGUCCGAAUUCAAGAUUGGAUAAAAUCAUCGAGAAAGUAUUGUCCGAAGAAGAGUGAGAAUGAGGGUGAGAGAGUAAGAGAUAGAUAGAUAUAGAGAAAGAGAGAGAGAGAGAGAGAGAGAGAGAGAGAGAGAGAGAGAGAGAGAGAAAGAGAUAUUGCCCGAAGAGAAGUAGAAGAAGGCGAAAGAGAUUAUUAAAAGAAAGUUUGGGUAAGGGUAACGCAGAGAUUCGAGACGGUCUCGCGAUUUACAUUCUGUAAUUAUCAUCUCGAUAUGAAAAAAGUAAGGAGUGUUGUGUGCCGACGUCCGACAACGCGGCCGACGAAGGGAAUACAACACCCCUCCCCACCCCUCGCAUUCUCCCCCUAGCCGUCCUCUCUUCCAACCCCUCUCACCUCUCGUCUCCACGUGUUCCCUGUCCCCUCCCCUCACCUCCCCCACCACCAACAUCACGAACGGAAAGCUUAUUCCCUUCCAAUUACCAUCUCAUAUUCUCCACCAUUCUUCCAACUCAGCACGAAUGUUAACGAGCCGUAGGAAUAUCGAGAUGAUCUGCGUCCGUCACUUUGUCUCAGACCUGUAAGGUGGUGCGCCACUCCUUUACGAUUUUCGCGUUUGGUCUGCGCGUGGACAAAAAGCCGAUGCUGAUACAUACGAAAGCAAAAUGUAGUAGAAGAAGAAGAAGAAGAAGAAAAAGAAGAGAAAGAGGAGGAGGAGGAGGAUGACGAGAAGGAGGAUGAACUCUUCGAAUGGUGAAAGAAAGAGGACUAGCGGGAUACGAUGACGAUGCGAAAGUUAUGGAAGAAGGUAAAAUGAAAAAUAAAAAGAAAAAAGGAAAUGAAGCGAUAAGGAGAAAGAUAUAUAUAUAUAG